rnacentral:rRNA from 1 species
GGAAUAUUGGACAAUGGGCGCAAGCCUGAUCCAGCCAUGCCGCGUGUGUGAAGAAGGCCUUCGGGUUGUAAAGCACUUUCAGCGAGGAGGAAGGGGCUGUUGUUAAUAGCAACAAUUUUUGACGUUACUCGCAGAAGAAGCACCGGCUAACUCCGUGCAAGCAGCCGCGGUAAUACGGAGGGUGCAAGCGUUAAUCGGAAUUACUGGGCGUAAAGCGCACGUAGGUGGUUUUGUAAGUCGGAUGUGAAAGCCCUGGGCUCAACCUGGGAAUUGCAUUCGAUACUGCCUGACUAGAGUAUGGUAGAGGGAAGUGGAAUUUCCGGUGUAGCGGUGAAAUGCGUAGAUAUCGGAAGGAACACCAGUGGCGAAGGCGACUUCCUGGGCCAAUACUGACACUGAGGUGCGAAAGCGUGGGUAGCAAAC